rnacentral:piRNA from 1 species
GUGGAGAGGAACAAUUCUGAGUC